rnacentral:misc_RNA from 1 species
GAUGAAGAACGCAGCGAAAUGCGAUAAGUAAUGUGAAUUGCAGAAUUCAGUGAAUCAUCGAAUCUUUGAACGCACCUUGCGCCCUUUGGCCAUUCCGAAGGGCAUGCCUGUUUGAGUAUCAUGAACACCUCAACUCUUCAUGGUUUUCCGUGAUGAGCAUGGACUUUGGGGGUCUUGCUGGCCUAUGGUCAGCUCCUCUAAAAUAAAUCAGCUUGCCAGUGUUUGGUGGGUAUCACAGGUGUGAUAACUAUCUACGCUUGUGGUUUUCCACCAGGUAACCUUCAGCAGUGGAGGUUCGCUGGAGCUCACAGAUGUGUCUCUCCUCAGUGAGGACAGCUCUUUGAAUGUUUGAUCUCAAAUCAGGUAGGACUACCCGCUGAACUUAAGCAUAUCAAUAAGCGGAGGA